rnacentral:misc_RNA from 1 species
AAGUCGUAACAAGGUUUCCGUAGGUGAACCUGCGGAAGGAUCAUUAACGAGUAAACAAGGGAGUUGUAGCUGGCCGCAAGGCAUGUGCACGCUCUCUACUCAAUCCAACCUUACACCUGUGCACCUAUUGUAGGUCGAGUGGCUGGACUUGUUCUGGCCUCUCUUCCUAUGUUUUACACAUACACUUGUAGUCUCAGAAUGUAAUCCGCGUAUAACGCAUUAUAAAACAACUUUCAACAACGGAUCUCUUGGCUCUC